AACCGUUCGGAAGCAGUUUUCCCGUCGAAUUCAUUUAUCGCGCUUGUGAAGAUUUGUUUGGACCAGUUUUCAAUGCAUCCACACUGAACGCAAACUCUGCACGCUUUAACACCGUCUAUGGAGGGCUUAAUCCAUCCGUUACAAAUGCACUGUUCGUACAUGGUGAAUUUGAUCCAUGGCGGUCAGCUGGUGUCCAGAGUAGUUUGAGUGCUUCAGCUCAGGCCAUCAUCAUUGCGGGUGCAUCACAUGGCAAUGAUUUAGGACCAAUUUCCAAUGACGACAGUCCAGCUCUAGCAGCUGCCAAGGCUAGAAUUCAAGAAAUCAUUACGGGCUGGAUUGCAACAGCUGGUGGAAAUGUUCCUUUGUAAAAAUAUCGAAUAAAUUUUUGAAUAAA